AACGAACGCUGGCGGCGUGCCUAACACAUGCAAGUCGAGCGUGAAAGUCCCUUCGGGGGCGAGUAAAGCGGCAGACGGGUGAGUAAUACAUAGGUAAUCUACCUUCGAGAUUGGGAUAACCCCGCGAAAGUGGGGCUAAUACCGGACAAGACCACGUGACUUACGUUGCGCGGUAAAAGGUGGCUUUUUCUUCGGAUGGGGCUAUCACUUGAGGAUGAGCCUAUGGCCUAUCAGCUUGUUGGCGGGGUAAGAGCCCACCAAGGCUAUGACGGGUAGUUAGUCUGAGAGGACGACCAACCACACUGGAACUGAGACACGGUCCAGACUCCUACGGGAGGCAGCAGUGGGGAAUAUUGGGCAAUGGGCGAAAGCCUGACCCAGCGACGCCGCGUGGGUGAUGAAGGCCUUCGGGUUGUAAAGCCCUGUCAUGCGGAAAGAACAGUCUCAUGGCUAAUAUCAAUGAGAUUUGACGGUACCGCAGGAGGAAGCACCGGCUAACUCCGUGCCAGCAGCCGCCGUAA
rnacentral:rRNA from 1 species